rnacentral:rRNA from 1 species
CAGUCGCCGCGGGAAUACGUAGGUGGCAAGCGUUGUCCGGAAUUAUUGGGCGUAAAGGGCUCGCAGGCGGUUCCUUAAGUCUGAUGUGAAAGCCCCCGGCUCAACCGGGGAGGGUCAUUGGAAACUGGGAAACUUGAGUGCAGAAGAGGAGAGUGGAAUUCCACGUGUAGCGGUGAAAUGCGUAGAGAUGUGGAGGAACACCAGUGGCGAAGGCGACUCUCUGGUCUGUAACUGACGCUGAGGAGCGAAAGCGUGGGGAGCGAACAGGAUUAGAUACCCGCGUAGUCCCUGUCUCUUAUAC